AUCGGCCGUAUACACAUAUGGCAGGGAUUGGACGAUAGGGUGGUCCCGCCAUCAAUGAUGGAAUACAUAGAAAGGGUGUUACCAGAAGCUGUAACUCACAAGCUUCCUAAUGAGGGUCACUUCUCCUAUUACUUUUUCUGUGAUGAAUGCCAUGAGAAGAUAUUCUCCACUCUUUUUGGAACUCCUCAAGGUCCGCUUGAACGACAAGAGGAAACUGCAUUUGAGAAAAACAUGGAAGAUGCUUUACAAGUAUCUGAUUCUGAUUUCUGAUAUGGAAUGAUGUGAAACUGAUGGUAUACACGAGUUCGGUUUGGAUGUAAAUAACACAGGCGGCUCCUAUAGGCAACACAGUAAAGCUUCAAAGGAUAGAGUUUUCAGUAUUCAGAAGGAUUCUUAAGUUUUGAGCCACAAAAGCUUUUGGAGAUAUAGGCGAAGCGUUUGCCAUGAUGAUGGCAUCUUUUGUUGCUCUUGUAGAGUCUACCGGAGCUUUCAUUGCCGUAUAUAGGCAUGCAAGUGCAACACCAUUACCGCCUUCUAUUCUUAGUCGAGGUAUCGGUUGGCAGGGAGUUGGCAUUUUGUUAUCAGGAUUGUUUGGAACAAUUACCGGAUCGUCCGUGUCUGUAGAAAAUGCAGGUCUUUUAAUCUCAAAUGACUGAGAUGAUAAUAUCACUAAAUGUCUCUAAAGGUGCAUUCUACUAUGUUGUUUAUCACUAUUAUUACUGGAUUUCAUUCUUGAUAGAGUUUUUCUUUCAUUUUGUGUUUAUAUGAGAUGGUAUUGUAGUUUUCAUUCCAAGCUAGCUUUAUAAAAAGAGCAAUAUAGUAUGAGUGAUGAAAAGUCAUUGAAUAUGUUAGUCUAUUUUUCUUUAUCAAGAAAGACAAAUAUAGGUGUGAGCAAACUUAGGCUGUUUCUGGAAGAAAUACUACAA